rnacentral:tRNA from 1 species
UUAAUUGAAACCAAAAUAAAGAGGUAUGCCACUGUUAAUGGCAUCAUUGGGUUAAACCCCGAUUAAA